CCUACGGGAGGCAGCAGUGGGGAAUUUUGGACAAUGGGCGCAAGCCUGAUCCAGCCAUGCCGCGUGCAGGAUGAAGGCCUUCGGGUUGUAAACUGCUUUUGUACGGAACGAAAAAGUCUCUUCUAAUAAAGGGGACUCAUGACGGUACCGUAAGAAUAAGCACCGGCUAACUACGUGCCAGCAGCCGCGGUAAUACGUAGGGUGCAAGCGUUAAUCGGAAUUACUGGGCGUAAAGCGUGCGCAGGCGGUGAUGUAAGACAGAUGUGAAAUCCCCGGGCUCAACCUGGGAACUGCAUUUGUGACUGCAUCGCUGGAGUGCGGCAGAGGGGGAUGGAAUUCCGCGUGUAGCAGUGAAAUGCGUAGAUAUGCGGAGGAACACCGAUGGCGAAGGCAAUCCCCUGGGCCUGCACUGACGCUCAUGCACGAAAGCGUGGGGAGCAAACAGGACUAGAUACCCUGGUAGUCCACGCCCUAAACGAUGUCAACUGGUUGUUGGGUCUUCACUGACUCAGUAACGAAGCUAACGCGUGAAGUUGACCGCCUGGGGAGUACGGCCGCAAGGUUGAAACUCAAAGGAAUUGACGG
rnacentral:rRNA from 1 species